AAUUCUUUGGUGGACAGUUGCCGCCAAUAGAACUUAAAUGGAGUAACAGGUUAUGCAUCGAUACGGGCGUUUUCAUACAUGAUGAUAAAACUGGAAUAUGCAAAAUUCACCUGAACAAACCUCUCCUUGAUUUACGGGCAAGGAAAGAUACAGUGCAAACGCUCCUGCAUGAAAUGAUCCACUACUACCAGCGACUCAGAGGAACGCAUGACCUUGAGCAUGGCGCAACCUUUCAGUAUCACAUGAAGCGAAUCAAUAGAGAAAGU